rnacentral:rRNA from 1 species
GAUGAACGCUGGCGGCGUGCCUAAUACAUGCAAGUCGAGCGAAGCGGGGACGGGUGAGUAACACGUGGCUAACCUCCUAUAAGACUGGGAUAAAGUAGGGAAACCGGAGCUAAAACGGAUAAUUGUAGAUGGAUCCGCGCUGCAUUAGCUAGGUGGUAAGGUAACGGCUUACCAAGGCAACGAUCCAUAGCCGACCUGAGAGUGGGAUCGGCCACCCUGGAACUGAGAAACGGUCCAGACUCCUACGGGAGGCAGCAGUAGGGAAUCUUCCGCAAUGGGCGAAAGCCUGACGGAGCAACGCCGCGUGAGUGAUGAAGGUCUUCGGAUCGUAAAACUCUGUUAUUAGGGAAGCGGUACCUAAUCAGAAAGCCACGGCUAACUACGUGCCAGCAGCCGCGGUAAUAC